rnacentral:rRNA from 1 species
UGCAACUCGCCUACAUGAAGUCGGAAUCGCUAGUAAUCGCGGAUCAGCAUGCCGCGGUGAAUACGUUCCCGGGCCUUGUACACACCGCCCGUCACACCAUGAGAGUUUGUAACACCCAAAGCCGGUGGGGUAACCUUCUGGGGCCAGCCGUCUAAGGUGGGACAGAUGAUUGGGGUGAAGUCGUAACAAGGUAUC